AUGCCGCGUGAGUGAAGAAGGCCUUCGGGUUGUAAAGCUCUUUUGUCAGGGAAGAAACGGCUGCGGCUAAUAUCUGCGGCUAAUGACGGUACCUGAAGAAUAAGCACCGGCUAACUACGUGCCAGCAGCCGCGGUAAUACGUAGGGUGCAAGCGUUAAUCGGAAUUACUGGGCGUAAAGCGUGCGCAGGCGGUUUUGUAAGUCUGACGUGAAAGCCCCGGGCUCAACCUGGGAAUUGCGUUGGAGACUGCAAGGCUUGAAUCUGGCAGAGGGGGGUAGAAUUCCACGUGUAGCAGUGAAAUGCGUAGAGAUGUGGAGGAACACCGAUGGCGAAGGCAGCCCCCUGGGUCAAGAUUGACGCUCAUGCACGAAAGCGUGGGGAGCAAACAGGAUUAGAUACCCUGGUAGUCCACGCCCUAAACGAUGUCUACUAGUUGUCGGGUUUUAAUUAACUUGGUAACGCAGCUAACGCGUGAAGUAGACCGCCUGGGGAGUACGGUCGCAAGAUUAAAACUCAAAGGAAUU
rnacentral:rRNA from 1 species